GCUGGCAUAGCUCAGUAGGUAGAGCAAUUCACUCGUAAUGAAUAGGUCGGGGGUUCGAAUCCCUCUGCCAGCU
rnacentral:tRNA from 1 species